GACGAACGCUGGCGGCGUGCUUAACACAUGCAAGUCGAACGGAAAGGCCUGCUUUCCCUUGUGGAUUGCGGGUACUCGAGUGGCGAACGGGUGAGUAACACGUGAGUGAUCUGCCCCCAACUUGGGUAUAAGCCUGGGAAACUGGGUCUAAUUCCCGAUAGGACUGCAGGGUGGUGCCUGUGGUGGAAAACGAUUUUCUAGUGGUUGGGGAUGAGCUCGCGGCCUAUCAGCUUGUUGGUGGGGUAAUGGCCUACCAAGGCGGCGACGGGUAGCCGGCCUGAGAGGGCGGACGGCCACAUUGGGACUGAGAUUCGGCCCAGACUGCUACGGGAGGCAGAAGUGGGGAAUAUUGCACAAUGGGCGGAAGCCUGAUGCAGCGACGCCGCGUGGGGGAUGACGGCCUUCGGGUUGUAAACUCCUUUCGACCGCGAGGAAGCCACCUGGUUGGAAGGGUGGUGACGGUAGUGGUAGAAGAAGCACCGGCUAACUACG
rnacentral:rRNA from 1 species